UGACGACUGUGCCAUCUGUUGGGACUC
rnacentral:piRNA from 1 species